UACGAAGGGGGGCUAGCGUUGCUCGGAAUCACUGGGCGUAAAGCGCACGUAGGCGGAUUGUUAAGUCAGGGGUGAAAUCCUGGAGCUCAACUCCAGAACUGCCUUUGAUACUGGCGAUCUCGAGUCCGGGAGAGGUGAGUGGAACUCCGAGUGUAGAGGUGAAAUUCGUAGAUAUUCGGAAGAACACCAGUGGCGAAGGCGGCUCACUGGCCCGGUACUGACGCUGAGGUGCGAAAGCGUGGGGAGCAAACAGG
rnacentral:rRNA from 1 species